GAUGAACGCUGGCGGCGUGCCUAAUACAUGCAAGUCGAGCGAACAGACGAGGAGCUUGCUCCUCUGACGUUAGCGGCGGACGGGUGAGUAACACGUGGAUAACCUACCUAUAAGACUGGGAUAACUUCGGGAAACCGGAGCUAAUACCGGAUAAUAUAUUGAACCGCAUGGUUCAAUAGUGAAAGACGGUUUUGCUGUCACUUAUAGAUGGAUCCGCGCCGCAUUAGCUAGUUGGUAAGGUAACGGCUUACCAAGGCGACGAUGCGUAGCCGACCCGAGAGGGUGAUCGGCCACACUGGAACUGAGACACGGUCCAGACUCCUACGGGAGGCAGCAGUAGGGAAUCUUCCGCAAUGGGCGAAAGCCUGACGGAGCAACGCCGCGUGAGUGAUGAAGGUCUUCGGAUCGUAAAACUCUGUUAUUAGGGAAGAACAAACGUGUAAGUAACUAUGCACGUCUUGACGGUACCUAAUCAGAAAGCCACGGCUAACUACGUG
rnacentral:rRNA from 1 species